rnacentral:rRNA from 1 species
AGUUCGAUCCUGGCUCAGAUUGAACGCUGGCGGGAUGCUUUACACAUGCAAGUCGAACGGCAGCACGGACUUCGGUCUGGUGGCGAGUGGCGAACGGGUGAGUAAUGUAUCGGAACGUGCCUAGUAGCGGGGGAUAACUACGCGAAAGCGUAGCCAUUACCGCACACGCCCUUCGUGCAAUCUUCGGGCCUCGCACUAUUAGAGCGGCCGAUAUCGGAUUAGCUAGUUGGUGGGGUAACGGCUCACCAAGGCGACGAUCCGUAGCUGGUUUGAGAGGACGACCACACUGGGACUGAGACAUGGGCCUACUCCUACGGGAGGCAGCAGGGAAUUUGGACAAUGGGGAAACCCUGAUCCAGCCAACUGGCGUGUAGCAUGAAGGCCUUCGCUGUAAAGCACUUUUGCGGUGAUAAGAAUGGCACGGGAUAAUACCCCGUGCAACUGACGGUACCUGCAGAAUAAGCACCGGCUAACUACGUGCCAGCAGCCGCGGUAAUACGUAGGGUGCAAGCGUUAAUCGGAAUGCCAUUGGCGUAAAAGCGUGCGGCGGUUCGGAAGAAGACGUGGAACCUGGUGACAGCUUAACUUUGGAACUGCAUUUUUAACUACCGAGCUAGGAGUGUGUCAGAGGGAGGUGGAAUUCCGGGCGUGUAGCAGUGAAAUGCGUAGAUAUGCGGAGAACACCGAUGGCGAAGGCAGCCUCCUGGGAUAACACUGACGCUCAUGCACGAAAGCGUGGGGAGCAACAGAUUAGAUACCCCUGGUAGUCCACGCCCUAAACGAUGUCAACUAGCUGCUGGGGCCUUGGCCUUGGUAGCGCAGCUAACGCGUGAAGUUGACCGCCUGGGGAGUACGGUCGCAAGAUUAAAACUCAAAGGAAUUGACGGGGACCCGCACAAGCGGUGGAUGAGUGGAUUAAUUCGAUGCAACGCGAAAAACUCACUCACCUUGACACGUCUAAAUCCCGAAGAGAUUUGGGAGUGCUCGCAAGAGAACCGGAACACAGGUGCUGCAUGGCUGUCGUCAGCUCGUGUCGUGAGAUGUUGGGUUAAGUCCCGCAACGAGCGCAACCCUUGUCAUUAGUUGCUACGAAAGGGCACUCUAAUGAGACUGCCGGUGACAAACCGGGAGGAAGGUGGGAUGACGUCAAGUCCUCAUGGCCCUUAUGGUAGCUUCACACGUCAUACAAUGGUCGGGACAGAGGUCGCUAACCCGCGAGGGGGAGCCAAUCCCAGAAACCCGAUCGUAGUCCGGAUCGCAGUCUGCAACUCGACUGCGUGGAAGUCGGAAUCGCUAGUAAUCGCGGAUCAGCAUGUCGCGGUGAAUACGUUCCCGGGUCUUGUACACACCGCCCGUCACACCAUGGAGUGGGUUUUACCAGAAGUAGUUGAAGCCCAACCGUAAGGAGGGCGAUUACCACGGUAGGAUUCAUGACUGGGGUGAAGUCGUAACAAGGUAGCCCUGUUGUCCGAUGCCCCAGCAAUACGUAACCGAACCAA